UACGUAGGGUCCGAGCGUUGUCCGGAAUUAUUGGGCGUAAAGGGCUCGUAGGCGGUUCGUCACGUCGGGAGUGAAAACUCGGGGCUUAACCCCGAGCCUGCUUCCGAAACUGGCAGGCUAGAGUACUAAAGAGGAUCGCGGAAUUCCCGGUGUAGAGGUGAAAUUCGUAGAUAUCGGGAGGAACACCGGUGGCGAAGGCGGCGAUCUGGGUAGAUACUGACGCUGAGGUGCGAAAGCGUGGGGAGCAAACAGG
rnacentral:rRNA from 1 species